UUACGCCCAUAUCAUAUUGAAAAAUCGGUUCUCGUACGAUCAACGAAGUUAAGCAACAUUGAGCCUGGUCAGUAACUAGAUGGGCAACCGCUUGGGAAUACCAAAUACUGUAA